rnacentral:rRNA from 1 species
CAGCAGCCGCGGUAAUACAGAGGGGGCAAGCGUUAUUCGGAAUUAUUGGGCGUAAAGGGCGCGUAGGCGGCCAUUCAAGUGACGGGUGAAAGCCCUCGGCUUAACCGAGGAACUGCCUGUCAGACUGGAUGGCCUGAGACCGGGAGAGGUGAGUGGAAUUCCCAGUGUAGCGGUGAAAUGCGUAGAUAUUAGGAAGAACACCGGUGGCGAAGGCGGCCCACUGGAUCGGUACUGACGCUGAGGUGCGAAAGCGUGGGGAGCAAACAGGAUUAGAUACCCAGGUAGUCCACGCCGUAAACGAUGGAUGCUAGCCGUCGGCAAGCUUGCUUGUCGGUGGCGCAGCUAACGCAUUAAGCAUCCCGCCUGGGGAGUACGGCCGCAAGGCUAAAACUCAAAGGAAUUGACGG